rnacentral:rRNA from 1 species
GACGAACGCUGGCGGCGUGCCUAAUACAUGCAAGUCGAACGGUCUUUUCUAUGGAAGCUUGCUUCCACUGAGAAGAUAGUGGCGAACGGGUGAGUAACACGUGGGUAACCUGCCCAUAAGAGGGGGAUAACAUCCGGAAACGGGUGCUAAUACCGCAUAGUUUUCUUGAUCGCAUGAUUGAGAAAGGAAAGACGGCCUUUGUGCUGUCGCUUAUGGAUGGACCCGCGGCGUAUUAGUUAGUUGGUGAGGUAACGGCUCACCAAGACGAUGAUACGUAGCCGACCUGAGAGGGUGAUCGGCAACAUUGGGACUGAGACACGGCCCAAACUCCUACGGGAGGCAGCAGUAGGGAAUCUUCCGCAAUGGACGUAAGUCUGACGGAGCAACGCCGCGUGAGUGAAGAAGGUUUUCGGAUCGUAAAACUCUGUUGUCAGAGAAGAACAAGUCGGAGAGUAACUGCUCCGGCCUUGACGGUAUCUGACCAGAAAGCCACGGCUAACUACGUGCCAGCCGCCGCCGUAACAC